rnacentral:rRNA from 1 species
AAAGGGCGCGUAGGCGGACAGUUAAGUUGGGGGUGAAAGCCCGGGGCUCAACCUCGGAAUUGCCUUCAAUACUGGCUGUCUUGAGUACGGGAGAGGUGUGUGGAACUCCGAGUGUAGAGGUGAAAUUCGUAGAUAUUCGGAAGAACACCAGUGGCGAAGGCGACACACUGGCCCGUUACUGACGCUGAGGCGCGAAAGCGUGGGGAGCAAACAGGAUUAGAUACCCGAGU